UACGGAGGAUGCAAGCGUUAUCCGGAAUGAUUGGGCGUAAAGCGUCCGCAGGUGGCUGUGUAAGUCUGCUGUUAAAGAGUCAUGCUCAACAUGAUAAGAGCAGUGGAAACUACACGGCUAGAGUGCGUUCGGGGCAGAGGGAAUUCCUGGUGUAGCGGUGAAAUGCGUAGAUAUCAGGAAGAACACCUAUGGCGAAGGCAGCACUCUGGGACGGUACUGACGCUGAGACGCGAAAGCGUGGGGAGCGAACAGG
rnacentral:rRNA from 1 species